rnacentral:rRNA from 1 species
UACGGAGGAUGCAGGCGUUAUCCGGAUUUAUUGGGUUUAAAGGGUGCGUAGGCGGGGCAGCAAGUCAGUGGUGAAAUCUUUCGGCUUAACUGAAAAACUACCAUUGAAACUGUUGUCCUUGAGUAUAUUUGGAGUGGGCGGAAUGUGUCAUGUAGCGGUGAAAUGCUUAGAUAUGACACAGAACACCAAUCGCGAAGGCAGCUCACUAAACUAUAACUGACGCUGAAGCACGAAAGCGUGGGGAUCAAACAGGAUUAGAUA